rnacentral:lncRNA from 1 species
UUUUUUUUAAUUUUAAAAAGGCUUUUGAAAAGCCUGAGCUUUAAAAUAAAUAGAUAUGGUUGUUUUUAUUUGAUAAAUAAUUCUGAUUUUCUAUUUUCAGGAUUUAUCCUACAGAAAAAAAGAGAAGAAAGGUUGAAUCUGGUGGUCCUUUUUAACCACAUGAUUUCAGAAGCAUUGGCUUUAAGAAUUUUUAAUGAGUGAUCUGGGAGCAAGUUCUGUGUUAGAAGAAAAAAAUACUUCUGUAUACCACAGUUUCAGUUCAUAAGAAU